AAGAAUGUCCUCCUCGCCACACACAGUCACAACCUGACCAUUCCAAACAUACUUCAGCUUCUGAUGGAGAGUUGACGAAACCGCUCCAGCCCCAUGUAUCCAGGGACGCCCCAAUAAACAACUAUAUGCUGGUUGAAUAUCCAUCACAUAGAAGACAAUAUCAAAUACCUCCGGGCCAAUCUUCACGGGCAAGGUGACUUCACCAAACACCAAUCGCUUGGACCCAUCGAAAGCACGAACGAUGAGAUCACUCGGAGUGAGGACAAC
rnacentral:lncRNA from 1 species